GCCCUCGUAGCUCAAUGGUAGAGCGCGUCACUAGUAGUGUAAUGACGAGGUUGCCGGUUCGAUUCCGUCCGAGGGCA
rnacentral:tRNA from 1 species